rnacentral:rRNA from 1 species
UUGUCUUUCAAUUGAAGGCUAGAACAAAAGAUUAAACAAUUUAAUUAAUUUAUUAUUAUUUUAAUUUAUUUUAAAUAUAAAAAAACAUUUAUAAUCAAGGAAGACGACAAGACCCUAUUAAACUUAACUUAAGUUUAACUGGGGUAGUUAAUCAAUUAAUACUUUUAUAAAAAUAUAAAAACAAAAGAUCCAAUAAAAUUGAUUUUAUAACAAGUUACUAUAGGGAUACAGCGUUAUAUAUAUUUAAAGAUCUCAUUUAAAUAAAAAUUACGACCUCGAUGUUGAAUUAAUAUCCUAAUUGCUGCAAUAAAUAAAUAAAGGAAGUCCGUUCGACUUUUAAAAAAUUACA